AUUGUAGGUCUCGGCAUAAGGCUCCAGGUCUACAUCAAUCUGAUACACCCGAACCUCUUCCUCUAGUUGACCAAGCUCAUCUGGAGGAAUAGGCUCUGUGCACGGCUCAACUUCCGUUUUACUUCCGCUUUCGUGAGUGUGUGCAUCAGUACUUCCGGUGUCGAAGAUGGCAACGUUCUACACACGGUCUCUCCAAGACCUCCCAAAAGUCACAAUUUCGGAUGUUAACAGAAUAAUUAAAGCUCGAUCCUCAACCCCCAGGAGCAAACGGGAGAAGGGGUACAAGAUGUACCUGUCAAGCUACAUCGAUAACUAUGAAGAUUACUUUUGAGAACACCACCCCUGUUGAAAUUGAUGCAGCUGAGUGCUCCUGUGUGGCUGGAACCGAGCUGUGCAACCACAAUGUUGCACUGUUAUACGAGACCACGAAGUACUCCACAUUGAGACUGAAAGCAGUGCCGCCUGUUCUCAGCUGCACAGAAACAGAACAGCGAUGGUAUAAACCACGAACACAGGGUGUGAAACCAGGCAGAGUGGGUGACAUGGUGUUUAUCUCAACAAAACCCAAGUCAAGACAGUACACAGUUGCUGAUGGUGUAAGGAGCAAACGCUACAAAGCAGUAAGAGGGGACUUGCCAGACCCAGACGUCCUGAAGGUCAAUGAGGUAUACCAGGACUUCACAGCCGACAUUGCUCCGCUAAUCACCACACUAGCCAUAAGCGAUGAGGUCCCCCUCGUUGAUUCAGCUUUCGGGACAGUUCAAGAAGGCAGCCCCAUCUCAUACCAGCACCCAGUGCCAGUGAGUAGGGUGAUCAUUAAGCACUGAGAUGCUCCCCCUCCACCACGCUUGCCAUUAAAUGGUCACAGGCUGGACCAAAGCACAUGUUCCUUUGUGUGCACUCACCAACAACACCUAAAUUUAACGUCACUUAACGUCACUUUCGACAUGGCACAGUCCAUUGAAAUGGCCACAAGGGAGGAGAGUGGGAGCGCAGAGUGGCACAGCCUUAGGAAGAUGAGGCUCACCUCCUCCAGGUUCCAUGAGGUGUGCCAUGUCAGAGGCCACAGCUCCGCUGAGAACCUUGCUGAACGGAUCCGCAAAGGUGGGGUCCAGACAACACUGAUGAAGAGGGGGCUAUCACUGGAGCCAGCAGCUAUUCAGGAAUAUGCCCAAAUUAGGUGCAUUAAUUAUUGGCCAUCAGGAUUUGUCAUCCACCCAGAUGCUCCCUGGCUUGGAUCCUCUCCAGAUGGCCUCGUGUUUGAUCCAACUGAGAGUCCACCGUUUGGUCUGGUGGAGGUAAAGUGCCCCAAUGCAAAGAGCUAUGUAAAUGUUGGAUACCUUCACAUGCAAAGUGGCAACAUGCACCUGAAGCCAGGCCAGGUGCAAGGCAAAGCAGUUGGCCUUGCAGGUGCAAGGCCAACUGCUUAUAACUGGCAUGCAGUGGUGCGAUUUUGUCAUUUUUGCUGAGGAGCACCUUCUUGUCCAGAGGAUUUUUAGGGAUGCUGAGGUGGCUAAGGUCAUCAGGGAGAAGGGGGAUUAUUUCUUUUUUAUCAUUACUUGAUCUGAGACUGACUUGUGCGUGCAGUCACACACACAUGCUCACCUAUUCACUCAAAAACACACACACACACUAACAUUAAAUGGGUGAUAUUAUAAGACUGUAAAGGUAAGGGCAGGUCAUGAUAAACUCUGCUUGUUCCUGCCCCCCUUCAUAUUUGAUUCAUGUUUG